GUGCUCGCUUCAGCAGCACACGUACUAAAAUUGGAGCGAUACUGAGAAGAUUAGCACAGCCUCUGUGCAAGGAUGACACAUGAAUUUGUGAAGUGUUCCAUAUUAAA